rnacentral:lncRNA from 1 species
AGCUACUUCGUCGUCCAGUCUCCGUUGGCAAUGACUCUAAUGUCACCAUAUAUAAAAAUCUUCUGCCAAUAUGAUAUAUAGAAAGUGCACUGUUCUCACCUGAUGUAGAUCACUAAAAAUCUUGCGAUAGAUUUCCCAUAUUAGUCGAGUUUUGAUAUAUUGAUUUUAAUUAUCAGCGUAGAUCUAAUAAUCCCAACCUUUCCAAAUUUGGCUUCCUUUCAGCCUCAGCCGAGAUAGCAGAAAUCUGGAGUGCGUUGUCCAAAUUGAUAACCAUGUGAUAACGCGAAUUGCUCUUCCCGACAACGAGCGGGCGAGGAGCGAGACAUCUCUAGGGUUUCUGCUAGGGUUUGCAAGAGUCAAUCGAUUCGUCAAUCAUGGCGUCCGUGGCUGCUGCUGCUGCGAAGAAGGAAUCAGCUUGAGGAGCAUGGACGGGCAGCGCGUCGAGGUGGAGUCGUCCAGUCGGAGACAUAGCCCANAUGACCGUGGACGGGUCCUCGCCGGCGGGGACCUCGCCAAGGUCCUUGAGUACUGCAGCAAGCACGCCGGGAACUCCGCUGCCGGCGAAGACGAGCUCAAGGCUUGGGACACCGAGUACGUCAGCAUUGCCGGCGAUGUCCUCUACGAGCGCCUCCUGGUGAGAUCCUUGCGCCAUACUCCUCUUUAAUCUUCUAUUUCUGGGUGUGUUUUUCUAGGGUUAGGGUUUUGAUGGGCUCGCUGUUUGUGGN